rnacentral:rRNA from 1 species
UGGAAGUAAAAAUCGUAACAAGGUCUCCGUUGGUGAACCAGCGGAGGGAUCAUUACCGAGUUUACAACUCCCAAACCCAAUGUGAACGUUACCAAACUGUUGCCUCGGCGGGAUCUCUGCCCCGGGUGCGUCGCAGCCCCGGACCAAGGCGCCCGCCGGAGGACCAACCAAAACUCUUAUUGUAUACCCCCUCGCGGGUUUUUUUAUAAUCUGAGCCUUCUCGGCGCCUCUCGUAGGCGUUUCGAAAAUGAAUCAAAACUUUCAACAACGGAUCUCUUGGUUCUGGCAUCGAUGAAGAACGCAGCGAAAUGCGAUAAGUAAUGUGAAUUGCAGAAUUCAGUGAAUCAUCGAAUCUUUGAACGCACAUUGCGCCCGCCAGUAUUCUGGCGGGCAUGCCUGUCCGAGCGUCAUUUCAACCCUCGAACCCCUCCGGGGGGUCGGCGUUGGGGAUCGGCCCUCCCUUAGCGGGGGCCGUCUCCGAAAUACAGUGGCGGUCUCGCCGCAGCCUCUCCUGCGCAGUAGUUUGCACACUCGCAUCGGGAGCGCGGCGCGUCCACAGCCG